rnacentral:rRNA from 1 species
UACGGAGGGUGCAAGCGUUGUCCGGAAUUAUUGGGCGUAAAGAGCUCGUAGGCGGUCUGUCGCGUCUGCUGUGAAAACUCGGGGCUUAACCCCGGGCCUGCAGUGGGUACGGGCAGACUAGAGUGCGGUAGGGGAGACUGGAAUUCCUGGUGUAGCGGUGAAAUGCGCAGAUAUCAGGAGGAACACCGAUGGCGAAGGCAGGUCUCUGGGCCACUACUGACGCUGAGAAGCGAAAGCAUGGGGAGCGAACAGG